rnacentral:rRNA from 1 species
CCUACGGGUGGCAGCAGUGAGGAAUAUUGGUCAAUGGACGAGAGUCUGAACCAGCCAAGUAGCGUGAAGGAUGACUGCCCUAUGGGUUGUAAACUUCUUUUAUAUGGGAAUAAAAUGUUCCACGUGUGGGAUUUUGUAUGUACCAUAGGAAUCAGGAUCGGCUAACUCCGUGCCAGCAGACGCGGUAAUACGGAGGAUCCGAACGUUCUCCGGAUUUAUUGGGUUUAAAGGGAGCGUAGGUGGAUUGUUAAGUCAGUUGUUAAAGUUUGCGGCUCAACCGUAAAAUUGCAGUUGAAACUGGCAGUCUUGAGUACAGUAGAGGUGGGCGGAAUGCGUGGUGUAGCGGUGAAAUGCUUAGAUAUCACGAAGAACUCCGAUUGCGAAGGCAGUUCACUGGACUGCAACUGACACUGCGUCUCGAAAGUGUGGGUAUCAAACAGGAUUAGAUACCCGAGUAGUC